GUUCCUGUAGCGCAAUGGAAAGCACGUUGAAUUUCUAACUCAAAGGUCGUGGGUUCAAAUCCCACCUGGGAUG